GACGAACGCUGGCGGCGUGCUUAACACAUGCAAGUCGAACGAUGAACCGGAGCUUGCUCUGGGGAUUAGUGGCGAACGGGUGAGUAACACGUGGGCAACCUGCCCCAGACACUGGGAUAACCAUUCGAAAGGAUGGCUAAUACCGGAUACGACCACUUCGGGCAUCCGAUGGUGGUGGAAAGGAUUCUGGUUUGGGAUGGGCCCGCGGCCUAUCAGCUUGUUGGUGGGGUAAUGGCCUACCAAGGCGACGACGGGUAGCCGGCCUGAGAGGGCGACCGGCCACACUGGGACUGAGACACGGCCCAGACUCCUACGGGAGGCAGCAGUGGGGAAUAUUGCGCAAUGGGCGAAAGCCUGACGCAGCGACGCCGCGUGAGGGACGAAGGUCUUCGGAUUGUAAACCUCUUUCAGCAGGGAUGAAGCGAAAGUGACAGUACCUGCAGAAGAAGCACCGGCUAACUACGUGCCAGCAGCCGCAGUAACAC
rnacentral:rRNA from 1 species